GAUAAACAGCUCCACUUUGCAUCAUCUCUGCUGUAGCAGUACAUGAGUUGCAGUUUGUAUUCUGUCUGUAAUCUGUCCUGUUGUUUACUGGCCAGUCAUAAGGCCCAGCUGGCAGGUCACCUGAUUUCCGUCUGCCUCCCUUUUAAAGCUACUGAAAAUCUGUCCCUGCUCAUUUGAAAAGUGGUUUCAUCUCACUUUGAAAAUGUUUGCUUAGCUCCAAUGUGUGCCAUCCUUAAAAUACCAUGGUGUGUACAGAAGGACAUACCAUGCUUUGUACUGAGGAUUUGUUCUCAGUAAUGAGACCCAACUGGCAGUGUGGCUGCACAGGCGGGAGUGCUGGUGCAAGGGAGAGGAUGGGAACACAUGGCCAGUAAGGAAUUGCUCCGUGGCUUUGAGUGGCUGACUGUGAAGCCAGGGUCUACAUUGAAUAAUGAAUAAACAAUAGUUGA